GGCUUUUUCCAGCGGCAUUCCUCCUCCCGUCCGCUGGAAAUUAAGAGACCGGACAUCUCCUCCCGUUCGGUCUCCUUCUCGAAAAGGCCGGGUUCCUCGCCCGGCCUUUUUCU
rnacentral:sRNA from 1 species